rnacentral:lncRNA from 1 species
AAAAAAAAAGUCAUAUAUGAGAGUGAGAGAGAGAGAGAGGAGGCCACCUUCAGAUGGAUCAGUGGUGGCGUUUCCGGUUGUAGUUUGAGCUUGCCCAUUUUGCACCACGUGGGUAGAGGCGAACACAACCAAGAAAACCACCAGCCGCCACCGGAUAGGUGGUGGUGCCGCUGCCAUAUGAGAAAUGAGUGUUUCAAAUAUUCGAAGAGGCAAGGACUAAUUCUUUGAGAAGAAGGUGGGGGUGUGUUUGUGUGUGGGAAGAUUAGAUGGCAGUAUUUUAAAUAUUGUACGUGUAAUCAUCACAUGUAUGUGAAAACACAUAUUUCGACUUUUCUUCAAGAUAGAUGGUGGGCUGUAGGGGUGUGCAUCGGUUCAAAACCGAACCGAACCGACCCAAAAUAUAAAAACCGAAACCGAACCGACCUCUUAAGAAUUGAAACCGAACCAAACCGCUAAAAUGCUAAAAACCGAUCAAAACCGAACCAAUCAAAACCGAUCGGUUUCGGUUGAAAACCGAACCGAACCGCCUGUUCCAUUUUUUUUUCUUUCAAAAAACAGAUUUUAUCACAAAAUUCAGCCACAAAAUAACACUAAUUCAGCCAUACAAUCUGAAAGUAUAGCAAACAAAAAUUAGAGAACAGUCUGAAACCCCUAAAUUCAUCCAACUAAAAUCAUACAACAAAAAUCAAAGAACAGUCUGAACCCUAUAUUCAAAGUCGAGCUAAACCUCAAAAUUCAUCCAACUAAAUCAAGCAAAAGUGAUUCAGAUUGGAAGAUUUCAGAAUGAAGUGCAGCGGCAGGAGUUUACUUUAGAGUUUUGGGGUUUUCAAAAUCAGCGAAC